GCAAACUUGGUCAUUUAGAGGAAGUAAAAGUCGUAACAAGGUCUCCGUAGGUGAACCUGCGGAGGGAUCAUUACGAGAGAGAGCCCGCGAGGGACUCGAAAACCAUCGCGAAACGUACCCCGUCGCCGUUGCUUCGGCGGGCGGCCCCCCCCGCCUCGGGGGGGCGCCCCCGCCGGAGGGACGCGGUAACACCAUCUUCUUAGCGUCUCUUCUGAGUGGACCGGCGAAAUAAGUCAAAACUUUCAACAACGGAUCUCUUGGUUCUGGCAUCGAUGAAGAACGCAGC
rnacentral:misc_RNA from 1 species